rnacentral:hammerhead_ribozyme from 15 species
ACUCGGUAUGCCACACUGAUGAGGCUCAGGGUUUCAAGACACAAAAGCCGAAACCGGGU